GUGUAGUGGUGUCGUCGUCGUCGUCGUCGUUGUGCGCUCGUUCAGCGUUUAAGGAAUUAACUACCAAGGAACACACAGGAGCAACUGCUCACUACAUAUACUGAUGGUGAAUGAAUUUAACUGAAAUAAAAAAAUUAAAAAAAUAUACUGCAUACAAGUAUUGCAUAAAUGAAAGAACAACUUAAAUUUAAUAAAUAAUUAGACAGAUUUAUUGGCAUUAUAUUUACUAAAUGUACAUACCUACUGCUCCCGCUACACAUUAGAUAAAUAAAUAUAUAUGUACAUAUUAUAUAUAUCAACUAGUUUUACAAUUUAAAGUCUUAACUAACAACGAAUGAAUACACAACGCCGUCUUAAAGGAUCUAAUAUAUUGUCAACAAUUCAACAGCAAGGUGCCAAUGAUAAACCAAAAACAAUUAGGUAACAAGGUGAAGAAGUUAAGUUGCACAGAAGCCAACACAACAGAAAAGACGCACACGACGAAUCACAACAACCACAUACACCUACCAGUAAAGGGAUGUACAAUGCCGAGCUUACGCACAGAUGAUUAAAUAAGAACAAAUGUGUACGCAUCUACUCGGUGCGCAGUGCGGAUGAUCUAACGGCGAUAUAAGCUUGAAUUCUCAACAAGAACAACAACAACAACAACAACAAUAAAAAAAGUUAAAAGCGCUGUAAGGUACGUGCAGCAGCACAAUAACCGUUAUUGGAAACUAUUGUCAAAGAGUUAAGGUGCACGGAGCUAUAAUAACGGCAACAAGGUUCAAUUUGCAAAUACAAGCAAAAGUACAUACACAUACACAAACCCACACUUACACACACACAGCAACUGAACAAUACUGGUACUGCAGCGCUGGUGAACUGAAAGUGUUACGAAAAUAUUGCAGCAAAAACAUUGGAAAUCGCUAGAGGACUAACAACAACAGAAACAACAUAACAUCAAUAUACCAACAACAUACAAAACAACAAAAGCAUAAUAGAGCAACUACAGGUGACAUCAACUGGCUUUCAACGUAGCGCACCGAGUUUCAGCCAGAGCAAAUGGAGCAAUAGCAGCAACAACACCAACACAAGAAACGCAAUGUUGUGGACUCUCGCCAACUUAAUUGACGAAGAACAUAAUUCAACGAAUUACAACAAAAACCAAAACCAAAACCAAGCGAAAACAAAAAAACAACAACAACAACAACCAGCACAGAUGCCCCAAAAUAGCAGCAUAACGGAAUAUCAUAGAGAAAAAGCAAAUUAGCAAAAAAUAAAAUAGUAAAAAAAAAUAAACUCACCUUGGACUGUGAUGAGCUGCAAACUGUUGACACAAUAAAAACCAACAACAACGUCUGCACCACAAACAUAAAUUAAAUAGAAUAGGCAGCACUGUCGAGCAGCCAGCGUCACAGCGCAGCGUACGAAGCCAGAUGGCAAAAGCGAACACAAUAAUUGCAACACAGCAACUUGUAGAGGCAAACCGCGGUUUUCUAACCAAACUACACACACAUACACACGUAUUAUAUAUAAAUAGAAUUUCGUUAAUAAUAAAUAAUUAGACUACAAGGAUGGUAGAAGGCACUACGACGUAGCGGAAGAAGGAACUAGACGAAAACUGCAAAAGCUUUAAAAUACUAGUAAAUAACAAAAACCAAUACAUGCAUAUUUAAAUUAUUACUCAAAUUAAUUAAUUAAUAAUUGAAAAAAAGCAAAUAAGAAUAUUUAAAAACUCUAAAAUAACUACAAAAAAUCAUAAAAAAAUAACAUAAAUUCAUAAAAAAAUUAAACAGCACUCGCUCAUUUCCAAAUACAACAUGAAUAACGGCAAAACGCAGAAAUAAAGAAAAUAAAAUAACUACAAAAAAAGCAACAAAUAUAAAAACAACUCUAAGCAUAUAUUCAUCAACGCAAGUACAUAGGCCAGUAGAAGACGUCAUUUGUCGCCACAACAACAACAACAACUACUGCUACAAUAAACUACAUACUACUUUUAAUGUAAGUAGCUACAUACAAGUAUGGUAACACUAAACAAAGUAUAAAUUAAUCAAAUCGAAUUAGCGGGACAGCGGAUAUUGUAAACUAAAUCAACGAAAUUAUUUCUAUAUGAAUUUUUUUCACAUUUCAAAGCCUUAUUGAACUUUAAGCUUUAAGCUAUAUUAGAAGCUCUCAACAACUCACGAUUCGCCAUUGUUAAGCGAGCCUAGCGAGUUUUGUAUACGGUCCUUACGCUACGCAACGGUACAACGGUACACAUAGCAAGCAAACAAGCGUACACACAUACAUACAUAUAUACAUAUAUUGAUAGUUGAUUGCCAAACGGCGUUGUAGUUAGGAAAAAUGGAUGAUAUGCCAGAUUUGUCGCACCUAACGCCACAUGAGCGUAUGCAAAUCGAAAAUGUACUCAUGCGUCAAAAGCAGGAGGAGGAGGCGCACAAUGAGAUAAUGCGCCGCAAACAGGAUGAGGUCGUCUCAUUAGAAAUGCAAAUACGCCAACGCUCCGAGGAGCAGAAGAAAUCCGGCAUCGAAUUGGGUGCAAUCUGCCACAUUUGCCUUCAAACGAAAUUCGCUGAUGGAAUUGGACAUAUUUGCCAUUAUUGCAACAUCGUGUGUUGUGCGCGUUGUGGCGGAAAAGUGACACUGCGCAGCAACAAGGUAAUAUGGGUCUGUAUACUCUGCCGCAAAAAGCAGGAACUACUUUCAAAGACUGGACAAUGGAUGAAUAAGGGACAGCAACAGGAUAGUUUCCUGCGACGCAUCGAGCCUGAUGGCAGUAGUGAUAUCUCGCAGCAAGCCAUUGUCGAUCCGCACGACACACUAGACAAACGCCCGAAGCUGGAGCGAACACGCAGCGCGGCCGAAAAAGAAAAUCUUCCAAUGCAACGAACGGGAAGCGUGCUGCGCCGGCAAUAUUCCCAGCAAGAGACGCCCACAAAUCGGCGUUUGUCCGCCUCCGACAGCGGCGCAGAUAUGAGUCCCGGGCAACAGCGUCAACGACCCAUGCAUCAGCAGCAGCAGCAGCAGAUGCAGCAACAAUAUGGCACGCAAGGUGGACAGCAGCAAGCGGGUGGUGGACAGCGGGCAAUUCCCGACGAUGAUCCACGCUAUUAUCAGGGUGAACUGGAUGGUUUGAUGCGUCAACAUCCACAUCUGGCGCAUCCAAGCCAGUUGCAAAAGCAGCAGCAGCAACAACAACAAGGCUAUCACCAGCAGCAGUUGCAGCAGCCGCCACUGCAGCAGCAACAACAACCACAUGCACAGCAUGUGCAGUAUCAACAUCACCAACAACAACAACAACAACACCAGCAGCAGCAGCAGCAACAACACAAAUAUCAGCAGCCAACAGUGUCACAGCAGCAGGCGCAACAACGCAAUUUACCACCACACCACCAGCAGCAUCUGCCGCCUCAACAGCAACAACAUCAGCAGCCACAGGCGCUGCGCUCGCAUAUGCAGCCUGCGUCCGCACAGGUAUCGGGUGGCAUGACGCAGCAACAACAACAUCAGCAGCAACAACAGCAACAGCAGCGCCAGCAACUGCAACAACAACAACAGCCACUGCAACAACAAAGGCUUCCACAUCAACACUCAUACAGUCCACAAACGGCACAACUGCCUACGCCACCGUUUAGCGGCGGCCCAAGCGGCGCAUCGUAUCAGAAACCGGCGCCAUUGUCGCGCAAUCUCACCAUAAGCGGCGGUCACGCCAUGGAUACGGCCAGCUAUCCGCAACAACAACAGCAACAGCUUCAGCAACAACAACAACGACGCCCACUAGUCGGUGCCCAAUACGGUCCACCGCAACAGCGCUCCUUCAGCAGCUCGGAAGAGGAGAUACAAGCUCACAUGCUAGCGCCACACUCGGCCGAAUAUAACUACGACGGCAAUUUACGAGAACCUUGGAGGCAACAGCGCAGUCUCAACGAGCGCGAUCUCUUAAGUGUGACGAACUCUUAUGGCGCUAACGACUAUCGCUUGACCACUACAAAUCGUCUGUACUCGUCAGCCGAUCGCGAUCGCUACGAUUUGCAUCGCGAGCGACUCGAACGCUAUCCACUAACGCGCACCGCACGACUGGAUGUGCAGCAGCAGAACGUCUACAAUCGAACGAAUCACGAUCGACAGCCGGUGAACGCCAACAGUGGAGCGUAUACGGCGCGUCGUGCGCCAACUUUAGCCACGGCUACGGCAACUACAGGUGGCGGUGGUAGCAGUAGCAGCAGCAGUGCCGGUAGCUACCACCACCAGAAACAAUCUCAACAACAGCAGCAGCAUCAUCACCAUUCAAAUCCACAAAUUGUAAUCGAUGAUAAGCCACUGCCUACAAGCGCUUAUGAUCGCUACGGCAUCACAGUUGGUGGUGGUUCACGCGGCGAAGAGGGUAGUGCGCGACGCAUUGGCGCUGCGGCAACACGUAGCCUCGGGCGCGAUCGUACGUUAAUGGCGGACCCCUAUUGGGAUGAGACGGUUAUGUCGACAAAUGCGGCACAGGACUCGCGACGUUAUACGGAGCGUAGAAUAAAGAAAACGGUACGCUUUGAUGGGCACGACGAGCCGCUGUUAAGCACCGCUACAACAAAAUCUGGUUCAUUGCCGCCAGUAACACAAAUCUUACCAUCAACGGCUGUGGACGUAGGCGCCGCCACUAUACUGACCAGCGCUAAAUUGGGCGCAAACGCAAACACUGCCAAUACGAUUAGCAUUUCGGAUGCGGCUGCCGAUUGGGCACGUUGGGACGCUGAACGGCAGGGUAGUCAGGAUUCGGCAACUAAGGACUCUGGCAUCGAUACGUGCAGUACAUUCACGAGUAGCGAAGACUCAAAUCGUGGCGAUGGGCCAAAGCAACCGGUGAAUUGGCAAAUAUCCACCGAUAAUACAUGUCUCAUUGGUCGUAUGAUAUUGCGAAAGUACUACGAUGGCGAGGAUAUUCUCGGCUUGAAAGUUGUAGGCGGCCAACGGUCGACGGCAGCAGCGGACGCGCACACUAAGUCAGCCGAUUGCGGCGCGUUCGUUGAAAAGGUGAAGCGCGGUUCGGUAGCCGAUGUUGAAGGACAUAUACGACCAGGCGACGAAAUCAUCGAAUGGAACGGUCGAGUGCUGCGUAAUAAGUGUGCGGACGAGGUUUAUCAGAUAAUUGACGAAAGUCGCUUGGACGCGCAGGUCGAAUUGGUCGUUUCGCGAGCUCUACCCGCCAACGCCGGUGAACACAAUGCCAAACGUAAAGUAGGCGGUCAGCAGCAACAAGGUGUGACGUUGCAUAAUCAAUGUCUCGCGAGCACCAUUGCCAGUAGUGCUGUGGUCAGCAGCGGCGGACGCUAUUUCACACGAAAAGCGCCUGCUGCGGCAAUCGAACAUCAUCGCGACAAGCCGAGCGUACUAAUCACAUCGCCCGGUUCGCCCGAUUUACACGCCACUAGCGGCGGUGCGCACACAUUGCGGCAGACGAAUGUGCAACAACGUGGCUACAGCGGCGACGCCGGUACGUAUCAGCAGCACCCAACGCAUCCACAAUCGAAGCAGCAAUCGCAAAAUCCGCAACAACAACAACAACAACAACCACAACAACGGCACGGAGCGAACGUCGCGAACACAGCCAGUGCAACAGCAGUCGGUACUACAGUUACAACGACGACGGCGGGCCACCAUCAUCACUACCACCAGCCACCACCGCCAUCGCAUACGCAUCCGCAUGUCGCCGCCCACCACUUGCCCACAGUGGGUGUGGCGCAUGUGCUGUCCAUGGCCGUCGAGGGCCGCCUGCAGAUGAAACUCGGCUACGAUCAGAAUACCCUGCAGCUGAUAGUUACUAUCGUCUGUGCGACGGGCCUUACGCUGCGUCAGAGCGGCGCCGCUCGCAAUCCUUAUGCAAAAGUGUUCCUUCUACCCGAUCGGGGUACAAAAUCGAAAAGACGCACCAAAACUUUAGCGACUACAUGCGAACCGCGCUGGGGCCAAACGUUCGUUUACACAGGCUUAAGGCGUUCCGAUCUCACCGGUCGUUUACUCGAAGUGACGCUGUGGGAUUAUGUGCGCUAUGGGGCCAAUGACUUUAUCGGCGAAGUGGUCAUUGAUUUGGCGCAUCAUGUGCUCGACGACGAAGCGGAAUGGUAUCAGCUGCAGCCCCACCAGGACACUUCGUAUCUCUUGCAUCACGACGACCAAAGUGAAGCGGACAUUAUGAUUUUGACACCGACAGAUCAUUUAUCACCACCCAGCACAAUGUCACGUCUUAGCGACUCUGAUGCGACGUCUGAAUGUGACAUCGAUGGACUGACGCCGGGGCGUGAUGGCGCAAGCAUAUCCUCACUGGGCAGCUCAUCAAGUCCACCACCAGAGCAGAUCGAUUUGAAUGAGCGUCGCUCAAGACGCGAUAUGUCGCCGCAAGGUCGCAAGCGUGUAGCUGGUAUGGUAUCGCGUGAUUAUCGUACGGUAUCUGGCAUUGGACAAAGUUACCACAAUCAGCAGGUGAGCACUGGUUACCUGCGUCGCAAUGGCGCCAUCACUGGUCCCAGUGGCAUGAGCCUCAGCCAACGCAGUCAUUCCGCCGCACCGACCGACAGCUAUCACGGUGUGACCGGCAGUGGUCACAGUUAUUAUCGCAGCAGCAGCCCGCGACGUGGUUCACUCUCGCCGCCCGACGAUCGCUACAUAGACUAUCCAGUGCUUCCAAUACACGCAACAGGCGGCUCAGCAUACGGGCAUUCACUGUCGGGUGGUGCAAGUUCGUUAAGUGCCACCGCUGGUGGUAUUCCCUUGGGUGGCGUAGGCGGCGCUGCAAUCGGCCCCACUGGUACAGCGCAACAGGGACGCUUUCAGUCGCGUUCCGCAACUGCCACACCUACGGGUUCGCCCAAAAAACGGCAGCUGCCACAGGUGCCGCAAACUUCACGCAGCGCCAUGCUACGUGAUCGCUUGGGUCAAGAGUUCGAUGAACGCCCGGGUGGUGGUCGCUUCGGUCGUCAUCGCACGCGUCAAAUUCAUCAUCAGGCCACAUACCGUAGCACCGGCAUGGGUGGCUGGGAGCGCCACUACACCGGCCUCUCGGACAGCGAUCUACAAUCGAUGGAGGCGCGGACACGACCGCGACACUCGCUAUCACCCGAUAAGGACUUCAUGGGUGAAUUUGGCGAUUCGGAUAUGGAGUCGGUGGUGAGCGUGACAUCGAGCGCCUUCUCUACACAAUCGGAACGGCCGCGCGGCUCACGUGGACUGAGUUUGCCACGCAAUUGGCGCACCUUGUACGGCGCCGACCCAAUGCCUGGCAGUGUCCCCACCACCACGCUUGCCGGUCACCAUGCACACGCUCAAGGACGCGGCUUCUUUGAGCGCUACCGCGCCAAUACGAUCGAGGUCGAUGAUUGUGAUUUUUUAUCAACCAGCUUAACGGGCGUGCCAACACUGUACGGUAUGGGUCAAUCGCCGCCACACCUCAAUACAGCGUCACAACAGAUGUUGUUGUUGGAGCAGUUAGAGCAGCUGCAACAGCUAGCCGAACUAGCAGCUGCUGAUUCGCCGCCGAACACGGCUACUUUGGUGGCGGCAUCCAAUCCACACAAUAUCCUCAGUGCAACCGCAACAAAUCACCUAUUACCACCACACCGACAAUUGCAACCGCAACAACUGCAACAAUUACAACAGCUACAUGAACCAACACAACUGCCAAGCCAACUCGUCAUGACCGACAAUAGCGGCAAUUUAGUAGUGGAUCCGUAUUUGCUUGAUGGAAGCACCGAACCGGGUCUGUUGUUAAUGGAGCCGGCGGGCGUAACGGUGAUACCACCUACACCACCAUCCGCAUUACCGCCGCCGCUGCCGCCGCCAGCGCACACUGUCAGCACACAAUUGCAACAGCAGCAACAACAACAACAGCCAUCACUUUCACACCCACAGCCACAUCCCCAUAUAUUUCAUCCACAUCAAUACUUACCUCACAUACCGGAUUCCAUACAUUUUCCCGAGUUUCUAACUCAUGCUGCCGAUUUCAGUCCUUUCGCCGAAAAGAUAUUUCCACGUGAUAGCUCCUUAGGGUCCAGUAGCCAUUAUCCAUUCUACGAUCAUUUGCAACGUAUCACCACGCCCGUAGUGAAUCUAUUUCGUCAUAGCCCAAGCUCUACACUAAGUACACCGACUGCUGCUGCAGUCAAUUCUCCGCAUCAACACGCCCAUUCCGUAUCAUCAUCGCCCUCAUCGUACAUUGCCUAUGUGCGCGAUCAUUAUGACAAUACAUGCAGCCACUGCCAAAACGGCAGCCAGCCGGUCGUACUGUCGACAAAUGCUGCACUCACCACACCCGGCAUAGCCAUAGGCGCUUGCGACAAUCCAUUUUGCAUUGCUGAAUCCCAUCCACAUCCACAGCAUCAUCCGGUCGCCUAUCCGUAUACAGCCGAACAACUGCUACGUAGACCGUCAUUGUCCAUGUAUCAGCCAUCGUCAGAGCCUUCACUGCCAACUAUGGAUCCGGCAAUAUGCGGCGAAUGUGUGGAUCAGCAUUUCGUGAGUGGUCUUACCGCACCACAAAUUGACUUGGGCGCUGUGCCCACCUAUCACGUACAUACCCCAACGCCAACGGCGCACAAAAAAGCCAAGUCCUCACUGGCACCGCCACCUCAACUGCCCACACAAUCGGUUUUGCGUCUGUCGCGACAAUUAAGCGAAGACGCACUUGUAACAGCUAUACCAAUUGCUGAAUCGAAAGCGCAGCCUACUUCGAUAUUGAAAAAACCGAAAGUUGGCGUACCAACGGGCACAUUAGAUCGGCGAAAAAUGUUUCAUGAGGGCCAAUCACGUUCACUGGAUUACGAUGAUUUGCACGCGAAGAGUUGGGGCCGUCGUCGCAUCAGAUACGAAGACGAGAUAUAUAAUCCGCCACUGGAAGAGCUAUCUCGUCGUUACGGUUCCGAGACAAAUAUACGACAAUCUUAUAUGGGUGCCAAUGUUGACGCAGUCAAUCCGCUAAGUCACUCACACUUUCUUGUCACUGACGACAAGAUCGUCACUAUUACCUAUGACUCGGAUGUGGGUUGGACGCGGCGCGGUGUUGCACCGUCUGUAUUUCAUGAUCCGCGACGUCGUUUCGAUGGCCGCGAGCGUAAUCAUAUGUCUCUAAAUUUACAACGCACCAAUCAGGAAAAGCUUUAUGGAGCUGCACUGCCAUACCAAAAGCGACGUCGCAAUCUGCCGCAUCCACCAAGCGCACAAAACGCCCACAAUUUCUCACCCGUUGAGGGUUACGACGACGACCCCAUGUUAAUGGAUCCCACCACACAUUCGUCAGCUACGCUGCCACCACAUAGUGGCGAACCAACAUCCAUAAACGGUACAGGCUCCGCCGAACGACCGGGACCAAUUGGCGAACAUCGCGAUCAACGUGAUCCACGCGAUGAACGCGAUCCGCGUGAUCUCAGUCGCUCAGUAGGGCCAGGCUCGUCACCUAGUCAGCAACGUCAUCCUUCAUCAAUUAUUUCUAAACGCAGUAAAUCAUCAAUGGCCACCGCUGGUGGUCAUCGUACACGUGUAGAACAGUUACAGCAUGAAUCGGGCAGUGAUCGCAGUAAUCUCGUUAGUAUCAAUGACCAACCCGAAUAUUUCGAAUACGAUGAUUACGGUGAUCCCUAUAUAGACUCGCACACUAGUCGUAAUUAUGCAACAACAACAACAAAUGCAAGUAGUAAUAGUUUUGUUAGUAGUGGUGGUAGUGUUAGGCAAAAAGGGAAAGAAGUUUCAUACGGCGCGGAACAACAGACGAAAUCUAGUAGUGGGAGUGGUAGUGGUGGUGGUGCUUCUUCUACUGCUGCUGCUGGUAAUAUCGUCGUCGGUGGUAAUAUUUCUAAUAAUGCUUCUUCUUCCUCUUUUGCAAAUUCCCAUCAUGGUGUCGCUAACUCCACAUCACCUAAACGUGCCUCAUUGAAACAUACAAAUACAACUAACGACGCUAACCUAAACGUAAACGUUGACGGAACAACAACAACAACAACUACAACUCCCAUACAAACAACAACUACAUCCACAAACAUCACAACCACAUCAUCGUCGAAUACAACAACAACAACUAAUGCGAUGGCAACAACAAAUUCAACCUUAACAACCUCAACAACAAAUCCUGCUGCCGCAACAACAACAACGAAUACUGGUGAUACAACAACUGCGGCUGGCGAUGCUGCUGCCACGGAUGAUGCCGAUGCGCCGCUUGACGUCAUCGAUUGGGAUGCCAUCGACGCUAUGCUGGACGAUGACUUCAGUGAAUAUGACAAAGACAAAAACGGUGGUGGUGAGGAGAAGAAGGACGAUCCCAACUUUAGUCAGAGUGUUGAUGAGAAAGUUGAUGGCAGCUUAUCUGAUACAGCAACAGAUCGCAAAAAGGGCGGCGUCGAGCAAGAGCGCUCCCCCAAAGGCGGCAGCGGUAUGGGUAAAAAAUCCAACUCCACCUCGCAAUUAUCGGCUACAGACCAAUAUACGGCUUCAUAUAAUGCAGUUGCUGCUUCCAAUGCAUCUCAUCAUCAUCACCAUCUUCGCCAAUCACGCGGUUCUGCCGGCAGCAUACAACGCUCCGUGGAGGUGCCGCCCGCAGCAUCGGCCACGCAAUACCGCACCGGAAGCAUACAUUCCAUAUCCAGCUCUGAGGGCUCAUCAUUUUCACCAUCGCUGCGUGGCAACGAUGGUCAGCUGUCGGAGUUCAUAGACGGUUUGGGGCCCGGUCAACUGGUUGGGCGGCAAGUGUUGGGCGCACCAUCGCUGGGUGAUAUACAGUUAUCAAUGUGCCAUCAAAAGGGUUUCUUAGAAGUAGAAGUUAUACGUGCUAGAGGCUUACAGCAAAAGCCAACGUCGAAAAUGCUUCCCGCUCCUUAUGUUAAAGUAUACUUGGUUUCUGGCAAACGUUGCAUUGACAAGAUGAAAACUUCGACGGCAAGGCGCACAUUGGAUCCGCUCUAUCAACAACAAUUGGUAUUCAAGCAGCCAUACCAGGGAUGCAUUCUGCAGGUUACCGUUUGGGGUGACUAUGGCCGCAUCGAGAAGAAAGUUUUCAUGGGUGUGGCACAGAUAAUGCUCGACGAUUUAAACUUAUCGAACAUCGUCAUCGGCUGGUACAAACUCUUUGGAACAACCUCACUGUACUCGUUUUCCGCGCUCGAGCUAGAAACAGAAAAAACCAAUUAAGCAACAUCACUUAUGGGAUACUCUAUAUUCUAUAUAUACAUACAUACUUACUUAUAUACGAGAGUAUAGCAUACACGACAUGUAUAUACACUACACAACAAGCACACAAAUACUCAAAAAUAUAAAACAACUUAACUAUAUCGAAUAUAUGCAUAAACAACAACAAAACUAAAAUUACUUAAAUCAUUAAAUAAACCUUAAUACGAAAAAAAAAAACAAAAUAACAAAAAAAUGUAAACCGCAACAAUAAAUUCGUAAUGUAAACUUGUAAUGGAAAACAUAGUUAAUGUGCAAAAUUACCGUAGAGUACACACUCGUUCAGUAGACAUUUCACCGAUCGUUUUAGUGGUUUGGCAUUGAAUCGCUCAACGUAGUUUCUAGUAACCCCUGCAUCGAGCUGCUUCCACAGCAGCGGCGCGAACCUAAAUCGCUGGCUUAGCUGGGAAACGAAUGCAAGAAAGAGAGUUUAUAGCCAAAUACCGAACGAGUCAACACGUUACGCGUCAGAUAAAGUGGGCGUGUACGCACGACCUACAUGUGGGCGCUUAAUGGCGCUCGUGGCUUUGACGUCGAGAGCAGCUCAACCGCAACUUUUUGAAUUUAAACGAAGUAGGAAGCACACAACUAACAAAAAUACCAAAGCAAAAACAAA